AGGUGGCACUCGUGCACGGCGGCACGACUACGCCGCCUGCACACAGCCGGCAACGUAUCGCUACGUUUUGCCGGCC
rnacentral:sRNA from 10 species